GUUAGAAACACAGACUUAGGAAUGAUUAGCCUUCGUGGGACCCUAACAUGAGUCUUGCCAGAAAAGCAGCUUGGGGAUGAAGCGGGCAAAAUUCAACAGCUGCCCAGUUCUUGCUCAUCAUGGUUAUAAGUUGCUCAUCUGUGGUAUGCUGCUGCUGCUGCUGCGCCGCUUCAGUCGUGUCCGACUCUGUGUGACCCCAUAGACGGCGGCCCACCAGGCUCCCCCAUCCCUGGGAUUCUUCAGAAAGCAUUGACAAUAACUUCACUCAUCUCUGCUGCUGCUGCUGCUAAGUCGCUUCAGUCGUGUCCGACUCUGUGCGACCCCAGAGACGGCAGCCCACCAGGCUCCCCCGUCCCUGGGAUUCUCCAGGCAAGAACACUGGAGUGGGUUGCCAUUUCCUUCUCCACUCAUCUCUAUCAACAUAAUUGAGAACUACCUGGUUUAGCGCUGCCACUGUCUUGACCUUGCCCAUGGAAAGCAGCAACUCCAGCAUUGCCCCCAUCAUGUCUAUUGCUGUGGGAACCUCAGUGGAUCUGGAACCCAGGCUGUAUGGUCAGUUGUGAGGCUGGACAGGUACAGUGCUUGCAGGCCUGCUGGGUGCAGCCCAACAUGGGCUCAAACUGAAUGGACCCAUGGAGUCUCUGGCUCCUCCUGCCUCUGCCCAUUCUGGACAAAAUCCAAUACUACCUAGAGGUGGCCCAAAGAGAGACUGCCUGAAACUGUGCUGGGGGUCAUGCUUUCGGAGACAAACUUUGACCCAAAGAGGAACAGAAGACAGGAGUGAACCAGCAGAUCAAGUCUUUGCCCAUCCCCCCACCUGAAACAUGAUGCAUCUGAACACCCUGUCUUAAAACGUCCAGCAUGACUGAGCAGUGAGCAGCCAUCUGUGUCCUUAUGUGGAGCUGUGGCUAGCUCAAAAAUAUGUUUCCCCUCCUUCAUAGUCUCAACACCCCCUUCCCUUUUUAAUCACUUUUUGCCCCCCAGAAAUUAGAUCUCCCAGUAAAAUAAAAGACCUUAAGCUUUUCCCUAGGCUCUGGUUUCUAGAAAACCAGGCUAAGAUAAUUCUCUUAGACUUUCCUUUACUCACUUACCUGCAAUGCCUGUUAUAUCAUAAAUCAGGGUUCUCUGAAUGUAUCUGUUUCAAAAUUAUAUAUUUUGUUCUAUUGAUCUACUAUGUAGCUCUACUGAUACCACUGUUUUUUUUUUGGGGGGGGGUGGUUUGUGGUCAUCAGCUUUAUUUAUUUAAAAAAUUUUUUACAAUGCUGUGUAGGCUUCCGCUGCCCAGCAACGUGAAUCAGCCGCAACUGCACACUUGCCCCCUCCCUCCUGAGCCUCCCCC
ensembl:lncRNA